GUGCUCGCUUCGGCAGCACAUAUACUAAAAAAAAUUGGAACUAUACAGAGAAGAUUAGCAUGGCCCCUGCGCAAGGAUGACAAAAAAAAAAAGAAUUAAUAAUAGUAAUAU